rnacentral:rRNA from 1 species
GACCUUCGGGUCUAGCGGCGGACGGGUGAGUAACGCGUGGGAAUGUGCCCUUCUCUACGGAAUAGUCCCGGGAAACUGGGUUUAAUACCGUAUACGCCCUUCGGGGGAAAGAUUUAUCGGAGAAGGAUCAGCCCGCGUCUGAUUAGGUAGUUGGUGGGGUAAUGGCCUACCAAGCCUACGAUCAGUAGCUGGUUUUAGAGGAUGAUCAGCCACACUGGGACUGAGACACGGCCCAGACUCCUACGGGAGGCAGCAGUGGGGAAUCUUAGACAAUGGGCGCAAGCCUGAUCUAGCCAUGCCGCGUGAGUGAUGAAGGCCUUAGGGUCGUAAAACUCUUUCGCCAGGGAUGAUAAUGACAGUACCUGGUAAAGAAGCCCCGGCUAACUCCGUGCCAGCAGCCGCGGUAAUACGGAGGGGGCUAGCGUUGUUCGGAAUUACUGGGCGUAAAGCGCGCGUAGGCGGGCUAUUAAGUCAGAGGUGAAAUCCCACGGCUCAACCGUGGAACUGCCUUUGAUACUGGUAGCCUUGAGUUCGAGAGAGGUGAGUGGAAUUCCGAGUGUAGAGGUGAAAUUCGUAGAUAUUCGGAGGAACACCAGUGGCGAAGGCGGCUCACUGGCUCGAUACUGACGCUGAGGUGCGAAAGUGUGGGGAGCAAACAGGAUUAGAUACCCUGGUAGUCCACACCGUAAACGAUGAAUGCCAGUCGUCGGCAAGCAUGCUUGUCGGUGACACACCUAACGGAUUAAGCAUUCCGCCUGGGGAGUACGGUCGCAAGAUUAAAACUCAAAGGAAUUGACGGG